rnacentral:sRNA from 1 species
CUUUCUAAUCUAUUUUUAUUCUUGGUUUCAGGCGCCUGAUCACAGAUUCAAAAGUUAAAUUAAAGUAUCAGCAUUUAAUAACAAAUAGUUUUGUAGAGCGAUCUAGGGCAGCCCUGCAGAGGUACCUGUUCUACUGUAAUCGCUAUAUGAACCACAUGCAGAGCCUGCGCUUUGAGCACAAACUAUAUGCUCAGGUGAAACAGAAAAUGGAGGAGAUGCAACAGCACAACAUGUCCUGGAUUGAGGUGCAGUUCCUGAAGAAAGCAGUUGAUGUCCUCUGCCAGUGUCGUGCCACACUCAUGUACACUUAUGUCUUCGCUUUCUACCUCAAAAAGAAUAACCAGUCCAUUAUCUUUGAGAAUAACCAAGCAGAUCUAGAGAAUGCCACAGAGGUGCUCUCGGG